rnacentral:rRNA from 1 species
GACGAACGCUGGCGGCGUGCUUAACACAUGCAAGUCGAACGGACAGACCAUGAUUUUGUGGGGUGCUCGAGUGGCGAACGGGUGAGUAAAACGUGAGUAAAAUGCCCUUGUCUUUGUGAUAACUUCAGGAAAAUGCGGCUAAUACAGGGUAGAAGCUCCUGAUGCGUGUUGUGGGUUGGAGAAUUUCGGCGGUUGGGGCUGGACUAGCGGCUUAUCAGCUUGAUGGGGGGGUAGUGGCUUACAAAGGCUUUGAAGGGUAGCCGGCCUGAGAGGGUGACCGGCCUCAUGGCGCCUGAGAGAGGGCCCAGACGGCUAUGUGAGGCAGCAGUGGGGAAUAUUGCACAACGGGCGGAAGUCUGAUGCAGCAGCGCCGCGUGCGGGAUGACGUCUUUCUGGUUGUAAACAGCUGUCGCCUGUGACGAAGCGUGAGUGACGGUAAUGGGUAAAGAAGCACCGGCUAACUACGUG